rnacentral:lncRNA from 1 species
AUGCACGCGCUCUUCCGUUCGAUAUCCGCACCAUCCCGGGGUGUGACAGAUAGACACGGCUCCGCCGCCGCUGAGCCCAUGGCGGGUCCCGCAUUCACCGGAGCGCACGGGACCUGGAUCACAUCCCGGUUACGGGAGGACGCGUCAUCUUCUUCAUCGUUAUCAUCGUCGUCGUCCGCAGAGAAACCGCGCAAACGGAGAGCAUUUAACCUGGUCAGACUGCGGCAGCCCACCGCCCCCGGUAACAACAACACCCCGUUUGUGAUCUCCGGUCAUAUCAAGCACAUCUGCAGUAACUGCAGCCGCGGGAAUGACAUCCGGGACGGGCCGCUGACAUCCGGGUGGCGAAUGGAUCCAGAAAGCUUCCAGUUUUCCCAGCGGAGGUUUCCAGUGAUUUCAGAGCAGCUGUUGUGCGGUUUACAGUUACAGUCAUUAAAUUUAGCGUUGUUUUUUUCGCUUAACUAAUGUAUGUUUCUGAACGGCUUUGUGCGUUGAUUUACAGAAAUAGUUCACCUAAAAAUGAACAUUUGCUGAACAUUUCCUCACCUUCAGAGCAUCCAAGAUUAGGAUGAGUUUGUUUCUUCAUCAGAUUUGGAGAAAUUGCAUCAGUUGCUCACUGCAAGUGAAUGGAUGCCGUCAGAAUGAGAGUCCAAACAGCUGAUAAGAACAUCACAAUAAUAAUCCACAAGUAAUCCACAGCACUCCAGUCCAUCAGUUAACAUCUGGAGAAGACAAAAGAUGAAACAAAUCCAGCAUUAAGAUGUUUUAACUCAAAUACAUUGAGUCUAUAAUAAAUAAUAACACUUCCUCCGGUGAAAAAGUGCAUCUCCUGUUGUCUCUCACAUCAAAAUACACCCACAUAUUAGUUUAGAGCUGUUUAAACGGUGCUUGAUCUGUGCAGAUUUCUCUCCUGAUUCACACCAGAACACUUUUAUGGAUUAUGGACUCAUAUUUUAGAAAUUAAAAGCAUCUUAAUGCUGGAUUUGUUUCAGUUUUUGUCUUCUCCAGAUGUUAACUGAUGGACUGGAGUGCUGUGGAUUAUUAUUGUGAUGUUUUUAUCAGCUGUUUGGACUCUCAUUCUGACGGCACCCAUUCACUUGCCAGAGCUGGGUAGAUUACUUGUUGAAAAACUCAUGACAUAGUAAUUGUAGCUCCACCCACUGUUGACAGCUGCACCCUAUUCUGACUCCAAUUAAGGGCCUUUAAAAAGGGUUGCUUUAGAGCAGCAAUCAGUUCACUCCUUGUUUACUGCUCUGGAUUCUUUCAUAUGGUGUUGUGGCUGUGUACAGAUGUAAGUUUACUGUUUGUUUUGUAUGGUUUGGAUUUUGUUGUAAUUCCUUUGAUUGUUUAACUUUAUUUGUUUAUCUUGUUUAAGUUCAGUCCACCCACUGUUGACAGCUGCACCCUAUUCUGACUCCAAUUAAGGGCCUUUAAAAAGGGUUGCUUUAGAGCAGCAAUCAGUUCACUCCUUGUUUACUGCUCUGGAUUCUUUCAUAUGGUGUUGUGGCUGUGUACAGAUGUAAGUUUACUGUUUGUUUUGUAUGGUUUGGAUUUUGUUUGUAAUUCCUUUGAUUGUUUAACUUUAUUUGUUUAUCUUGUUUAAGUUCAGAAACCAGUCUGAUACACCUGUUGGAAGAAUGAUGUACUGGCAUUGGUGAAAUAAACAUGCAAAUGGAUGUUGUCUCAAGGUGUUUUAACUGACAUCCCAUUGUGAUGCUCCCCCUACGAAUAAGUAAUAUCCUAAGAGUCUUUUACACAUAAUGUACCAAAUUAGAAGGUUCCCUGUAUCAGUGUAUCUGCUGAAUAUGUUGUUACUGCCGUGUCCACAAAAUAACAAAAAGAAAUCUCUAAGUUGUACGCAAAAACAAACAUGACAAGUGUAAUACAAAAAUUAUAAAUAAAUUACCCUUACGGGUGAAUUCUUUUUAGUGAUUCAACAACAUACAGUGCCACCAGUGUAGCCCAAUUCCUCAAAAAUGAACAUGUCUUAUGAGCCAACCAAAC